rnacentral:rRNA from 1 species
UACGUAGGGUGCAAGCGUUAAUCGGAAUUACUGGGCGUAAAGCGUGCGCAGGCGGUUUUGUAAGUCAGAUGUGAAAUCCCCGGGCUUAACCUGGGAACUGCGUUUGAAACUACAAGGCUAGAGUGUGGCAGAGGAGACUGGAAUUCCCGGUGUAGCGGUGAAAUGUGUAGAGAUCGGGAGGAACACCGGUGGCGAAGGCGGGUCUCUGGGCAUCUCCUGACGCUGAGGCGCGAAAGCGUGGGGAGCAAACGGG